UCUCCGUUGGUGAACCAGCGGAGGGAUCAUUACCGAGUUUACAACUCCCAAACCCAAUGUGAACGUUACCAAACUGUUGCCUCGGCGGGGUCACGCCCCGGGUGCGUCGCAGCCCCGGAACCAGGCGCCCGCCGGAGGAACCAACCAAACUCUUUCUGUAGUCCCCUCGCGGACGUUAUUUCUUACAGCUCUAAGCAAAAAUUCAAAAUGAAUCAAAACUUUCAACAACGGAUCUCUUGGUUCUG
rnacentral:misc_RNA from 1 species